rnacentral:rRNA from 1 species
AUUGAACGCUGGCGGCAGGCCUAACACAUGCAAGUCGAACGAGUGGCGGACGGGUGAGUUAUGUCUGGGAAACCGCCUGAUGGAGGGGGAUAACCACUGGAAACGGUAGCCAAUACCGUAUACCAACAGAUGUGCCCAGAUGGGAUUAGCGAGUUGGUGGGGUAACGGCUCACCAAGGAGACGAUCCCUAGCUGGUCUGAGAGGAUGACCAGCCACACUGGAACUGAGACACGGUCCAGACUCCUACGGGAGGCAGCAGUGGGGAAUAUUGCACAAUGGGCGCAAGCCUGAUGCAGCCAUGCCGCGUGUAUGAAGAAGGCCUUCGGGUUGUAAAGUACUUUCAGCGGGGAGGCGUUACCCGCAGAAGAAGCACCGGCUAACUCCGUGCCAGCAGCCGCGGUAAUUC